rnacentral:rRNA from 1 species
UGCCAGCCGCCGCGGUAAUACGGAGGGUGCGAACGUUAAUCGGAAUUACUGGGCGUAAAGCGCGCGUAGGUGGUUUGAUAAGUGGGAUGUGAAAGCCCCGGGCUCAACCUGGGAACUGCAUUCCAAACUGUCAAGCUAGAGUAUGGUAGAGGGAGGUAGAAUUUCCUGUGUAGCGGUGAAAUGCGUAGAUAUAGGAAGGAAUACCGGUGGCGAAGGCGGCCUCCUGGCUCGAUACUGACGCUGAGGUGCGAAAGCGUGGGUAGCGAACAGGAUUAGAUA